CAAGCUGACUGGAGGACAUGGCCACUUCUCGCUUACCCCCAGCGACGCUAACGCUAAAACAGUUCAUGAGAAGGCAGCAAGUUCUCCUCCUCUACAGAAGGAUUUUGCAAGCAAUUCGGGAAGUUCCAAAUGAUUCUGAUCGCAGAUACCUGAAGGACUGGGCAAGGGAAGAAUUCAAAAGAAACAAAAAUGCCACCGAAGAGGAUACAAUCCGGAUGAUGAUUACUCAAGGCAAUAUGCAGCUCAAGGAGUUAGAAAAAACACUUGCCUUAGCCAGAUCUUAACUACAACAUUAUUCUGAAAGAUUUUGCAAGUUUCCAUGUAUUUAGUUGAGCUGAAGUUCAACAAUGGGCAGCCCCAAACCAAGUGAAACUGUAUGUAAAGCCUCUUGGCAGGAUCUCAGAACAUGGAGAAUGGCAGUUCACAGAGAGAGUCAAGAAAAGUACGUCAGAGCAAUUGCCUCAGCACUGGAAAACUUACCUGUGUUUUGACAAUGUUUUUGGAUGGGUCAGCAGUUUUUGUAAGAAGCAAAAAUCAGUCUGAUAGAUGGUCAGCACAUAAAAAGAUGUUCAGCAGCAUUAAUCAUCAGGGAAAUGCAAAUAAAAACCACCCAGAGAUACUAUUCACAUCCACUAGAAUGGCAGUAAUUAAAAAGGGAGAAAAUUGGAAAUGUUGGUGAAGAACCUGGAACCCUUUUACAUUGCUGGUGGGACGAUGAAAUUGUGCAGCCUCUUUGGAAAACAGACUGAGUUGCCCAAAAGAGUAAAUAGCAUUAUUCAUGACAGCCAAAAAGUAGACAGUCCAAGUGCUCAUCAGUUGAUUUAAUGGUUGAGUAAAACCUGGUAUACCCAUACAAUAGAGUAUUAUUUAGCAAACAAAAAGGAAUGAAGUAUUGAUACAUGCUACAUCUGGAUAAAUCUUGAAAACAUUAUUAAGAGGCCAGUCACAAAAGAUCAUAUAUUAUGAUUCCAUUUAUGUGAAUGUACAACUCUUGAGUAUACAAAACCACCGAAUUACACAUUUUAUAUGUAUGGUAUAUGAAUUGUAUCUCAAUAAAGCUGUUUUUCCCCCGAUUUUUUCUUUUUGAGCUAUAGUUGAUAUAUAACAUUGUGUAGUAAAGCUGUUUGAGAGAGUUCCCAUUGUGGCUCAGCAGUGAUGAAUCCGACUAGGAUCCAUGAGAAGGCGGGUUCCAUUCCUGGUCUCGCUCGGGGGUUAAGGAUCUGGCGUUGCCAUGAGCUGUGGUGUGGGUCACAGAGGCAGCUUGGAUCUGGCAUUGAUGCGGCUGUGGUGUAGGCCAGCAGAUCUAGCUCCGAUUCAACCCCUAGACUGGGAACUUCCAUAUGCCACACAUGUGGCCCUAAAAAGCAUAGAAAAAAGAAAAAUCUGUGUGAGAUUCAGGGCUGGAGACAUACUGACCUCAGGAGACACCUGGAGCUUUCCUGGAAAAUCCUUCUGCAUUACCACUUAGGGUAGUCGAGGCAUGUUCUUCAGAUGCAUCAUAAGAUACUCAGAAAACUCUCUGAAAAGAUCACCAGUAGACAUCUAGAACGUCAUUGGAAAGAGAGGAGAAAGAGAAGCUUAACACAUUGAAGUGCUUACCAAAAAGAAGACAUAACUUCUGGAUGAAACUAGGCAGUUACCUUAACAACCAGGGGGAAAGGAAAAUAAAUCAUUAAACUCCUCAGUGCCUUAGGUUCUCCAGUUGACAGGAAGAAAAAGAGUCUGAUGAAUAAGUUGACUUCAGGACACUUUUGAAAGAGACCAAAUGUAUAACAGUUAAUUUGGUGAAAAGUGUAAGCUUGUGGAAGAGGCUGGGGUUGGCAGACAGAACAGAUCUAAAAAGGUAAUCCAAGAUUCUGACCAGCAUCUGAAGGAUGUAGAAAAACUUUUGCAGGAUCAGUGGUAUCUAGCAUUGGGCCCCGGGCCAUUGGAGAGGCAUGAACUGAUGGUGGCAUGUCAAUGACCUGCACUCCAGGGCCCACCUUUGCCUCCCACAGCCUCAGCGCCCACAGAUAAAAUUAUUCUGAAUACGCUGCCACAGGGGAAUGUACUCAUUUCAAAUGCUUGCAUGAGCCAACUUUGAGGUUUUUAUAUAGAUGUACAUUAGUCAAGCCAUCUGAUGAACAGAAGGAAAAGCAUUUGUGAACAGUUUCUGAACAGAGAACAACUUCAGAAAUAAUUUAUUCUUUGUGAGGCAUGACUAACAUACAUAGUCAAGUUCAGGCUGUUGCUAGUAAAUCUAAACUCUUAGAGCUAAAACCCAUCCUUUUAUGAAGUGUGGCAGUCAGUGACUUCGAUGUUCUUCCUAGCAGUGGUGUAUGUGGAAGACGUAACAGCCUUUGUGGUUUGUAUUUGCAAGAAUCAAAUACCACAGACUCCUGCAGAUACCAAUUUGGGGUUUUGUUUUUGAUUUUGCCUUUUAAGUGGGUAAAACACUAAAAAUUGAAUUUUUAUCUUCCAAAGGCCAAGGUUUUUCUCAUGGACAAGCUUUUCCCUUCAUCUUUGUUGAUUUUAUUUGUUCAAUUAACAUCUUCAAUUAUCUCUUCUGAAUUAUAGGGCAAAGCUGUUGUUUAGCUCACGAGAAAAUUUAUUUAGCAAUUUCUUCUCACAUAUGGAACCAUGGUCAUGAACUAAUAAGAUGCUGGCCAGAAUAGAACUGGUGAAACACAUUUUAGUCAUCAACUUUAUCUGUUUUUUUGGAUUAUGCAAAUUCACUUUCUGGGUGUUCCCUGUAAACUAUACCAAGUUUUGAUUCUAAAGUUUUUUUUCUUUUUAGAGCUGCACCUGCAGCAUAUUGAGGUUCCCAGGCUAGGGGUUAAAUCAAAGCUGCAGCUGCCAGCCACAGCCACAGCCACAGCCACCCCGAAUCUGAGCUGCGUCUGCGACCUACACCACAGCUCACAGCAACGCCAAAUCCCUAAUCCACUGAGGGAGGCCAGGAAUUGAACCCACAUCCUCAUGGAUAGUAGUCAGCUUCUUAACGCACUGAGCCAUUAUGGGAAUUCCAUGUUCCCAAAGUUUAAUUUUAAGAUGUUUAAAUGUUUGAUUUAUAUAUAUGAACUACAACAAAUCAAUCAUCUUAUAUUGAGUUUUUUUAAAGAGAAGUUUUCUAGCAUAUGAGAAGUGGCUAAGGCUAUUUAUUAUUUAACAUACUGACUGCCCCUGUGUCACUGACCCCUUUUCAGUGUGCCAUCAGUUUUAAAUUCAAAACAAAGGCAUUGCAGAUGUGUCUGCAGAGAGAGAUGACUUUCUAAUGUUUGAGGAAGGCAAAACAUAUUUCUUGGUAUUUGUCUUACUGUAGACACACUCCUCUGCUCAGAAGCUGAGUGUCAGAGAUCCAUACUAACUUAAAUAAAUUAUGUCAUUUAUAGAAUAAGGAAAAUUUGAGGGAAAAAAAAAAGGAAGCAGCUUACACCUACCUUGAAAAAAACUGGGAUUAUGUAAAAUUAAACCUAAACAGGAUAAAAAACAAACUGUCAUUCUGUGCCAAAUGAGGAAUUGGCACAGGCUAUUUCCUUGAGUCAGACAUUUGAGAAAUACUUUAAGGAUUAAAUUUACUACUUUUGUUUACUGAGAAGAGUAAAUCACUUUUACCCAGUCUGUUUUGUAUUUAAAAAAAAAAAAAUUCUUUGCUGGA
rnacentral:lncRNA from 1 species